UACGUAGGGGGCGAGGCGUUGUCCGGAGUUACUGGGCGUAAAGGGCAUGCAGGCGGUCGGACGCGUUUUGUGUGACAGCGGAUGGCUUACCUAUCGAGCAUACGAAAGACGGUUGGACUUGAGGACUCGAGAGGGACACGGAAUUCCGGGUGGAGUGGUGAAAUGCGUAGAGAUCCGGAGGAACACCGAAGGCGAAGGCAGUGUCCUGGCGAGUGACUGACGCUCAUGCACGAAAGCGUGGGGAGCAAACAGGA
rnacentral:rRNA from 1 species